CACCUGCUUGUUCUCAGCCCUUCCCAGCCAGACCUGCAGCCAGGGCUCUCCACCCACACACCUGCCCAGGAAGCCUGCUGGACCCAGAUCUGGGCUGGGCCCAGAGGCCAGGUCACAGGACCUGCCAUCAUGGCACAAGGAGCUUCCUGGUGGGAGAGAUGGGAGCUAGCGGAAGAGGAAGGGAGGGUCCUGUCUCCCUAGCCCAGCCUGGGCCUCCUAGCAGAAGAGCCCCACCUGUCCACCACCUCCAGCCCCAGGCCCCUGAACUGGUGGGGGCUGCAAUGCUGGAGGCAGGUAGUGCAGCCUCUUAGUGUCGAAAGGCUCAGGGGAAGACAGCGUGUGGGGCAGGGCCGGUGCACCUGGCUCUCAGUGGGCACCCAGCCCCCUCCUGGCGUUGCCCGGGGAGUCCUGGGUAUCUGACCCAUCUCUUUGUCCAGGAAGUGACCACUGGGAAGGCCGUGCACCCUGCUCCAAGUCAGGACUCGGGUGUAAGCUGGUCCUAGCCUCCCGGCCUCCCUGCCCCCACCCCCAGCAUCACAGUAAGCCUGGCAGGUUGGUCAUACUCAGAAACCACCCAGAGGGGCUGGGCGUGGCACACACCUGGAGUC
rnacentral:lncRNA from 1 species